AGAAACUUAGGAUAACACAAACCAAGGACCUUCAAAGCCCCAAACAGAGAUGAAACCUCUCUAGUUUCUG
rnacentral:tRNA from 1 species